UAAAGCUUGUUAUAUCUACCUUUACUAUCAUCCAUCUAAAAUGAAGUUUUACGUCACGUUCAUGCACUAACUCUAUAAAGGUACAACAUAAAAUCUAAAAAAAAAAAACGGUAUCGAAAACAAAAAUCGCAACAACAUAAGUGGACAAGAAGCAGCCAGUUGAAAAGUUAACGUUAUUACAAGAAAAAAAUGCAAAAUGCAAAUUUGUCCAUGAACAUUCCAUUAAGGAACGGGGGCAAACUUCUCACAUAUCAAUAAGUGCAGUCCGAUUCAAGUUUAAGCUCAAUGAUAAGGGGCCUCCUUUUUAUAGCAGCGUCUGCGUCUUUUAUAGCGUGUCCCAGUGCGGCACCGCUUUGGAGAGACGUUUUCAAAUGGCAGGAUACCUUACAAAUAUCGCCAGCAUUAGGAGGGGAACACCACAACUGAAAAUUUUUUCUGAUGGUCUCGCCAGCUUUCGAACCCGUGCGUUCAGUGUCAUAACGGGACAUGCUUACAUCUGCUCUGCGGUGGCCUCCAAGAAAAAUUGAUUUACCAUAAUUAGACUGAUGAAAGUGGUCUCAAUUGUACAAAAAUCACAAAUCAUAUGGUGCAAUCCGCUAUUUUGCCAUCAAGCUGAACGAUGGUUUGACAACACGUGCACAGAAAUUUGUGUGCGUGUGUGUAUACGUGUGCGAAAAUGAGCAGAGAAUAUGCGCGAAAGCAGAUAACAACAAAGAGAAUGCAAACAAAAAUCUGACAUUUUAAUACUGUCAAACAUGACCGGCUGUUCGCGUGCGACCACCUUAUUAAAUCCGCCUUGAUUCGUGCCAUGGCAAAACAGUUAAAGGUGGUCUCAAUUGUACAACAAUAUCAAAUCAUACGUUACAAUCCGCUAUUUUGCCAUUAAGCUGAUGGACGGUUUGCCAACACAUACAAAGAAAUUUGUGUGCAUACAUGAGCAGAGAAUAUGCGAGAAAGAAGAUGACAACAAAGAGAAUGCAAACAAAAAUCUGACAUCUUAACGCCGUCAAUCCUGGGGCCUAAUUCACGUAUCCGCAAUCGACUUAUCACGAUCGAGUAUUGCAUUUUUCGAUAAUGGCAUCCGUUAUCGAUUUUCCGUUAUCAAAUUUUCGCUAUUUUCAAGAAACUAGGCUAAACAUAGGGCAUCGAAGUAUUUAUUUCAUAAAACAAAACAAUAAUUAUAAUAUAUUCACAUUUUUGGUCCCUUAAAUUCGACAAAAACCAACUUUCUGCUUAAGCCAAAUUUGGCAAAGUAAAUUAUCAAAUUAUCUACAAACAUGACCAUACCAAAAGUUGUAUCAUUGAACUACUAAAUUUAAGGCAGCAGGAUUUUUUUCAAGAAAAAGGUUUUGACUUUAUCCAAUUGUACUUUGGCUGUUGUUCUUGUGCCUGCCCGAAAUAUCAAACAAGAACCGUUGGCUGUCCUAGAGGCGAGGGAAUCCACAUACUUUUUUUUGGCCUCUUCCACAUAAAACUGCAAUUUAUAGUGUAAAAAAAGUAACAUAUCGUUAUAAAACAAUUUCAUAUCGUUUAGAACGUAUUUUAUUUAUUUUUUUAGUAGGAAUAAAAUUUUUUUACAACCACCA